AAUGCUUAAAAGAAAUUCAAAAGAUGGUGUAAAUAAUAAAAAAAUUAAGAUAUAAGCUGCUAUAUGCAUUUAUCAGUAUGUUUUAAUAAAAUAAAAUGUAUUUUAGCCAUGCAUUAUCAAGAAGGAAGAGAUUAAUGAACCCUACCCUCUUACAAUGAACAAAACAUGGACACUCUCGGGAUGAUCCUUUUGCUUUCAUUAAGAGUUUCAAGAUGUGGGUCUGAUUGACUGGGGAGUGAAAUGUAACAGCCAAUGGUGUACUUAAGCUAAGACUGUCAGUCCCAAUAUUCAAGAGGUGAGAUAAGCAAUGGAUAUGUGUUCUAAAUUUACUAAAUUGACCACUUUUUAUAAAUGUUUCUUUUACUCUAUAGGAAAAACCCCUACAUAAACAAAUACAUGGGCGCAGACAUUUUGGACACCCAAGGUUGUGCGGAGGAGAAAAUGCUAGCUGGCGCGUGAUUGGUCAAUAAGAGAAAAGACUUGUUAUGUAUUUGACAAGUGAAAUAAAGUUGAUAAAAAUCUGA